CGCUCACCAGAUAAUUAUGUGCAUAAUUCAUUCAAAGUUAAUGUUGGCAUUGCGCUUAGGAAGAAAACCCCGCUAGUUAUGCUGUACUUGCCCCAUAUGAAUCGUUAUAUGUAGUCUCUGGAUAUUUCUACACAUUUUGCUUUACAAAGUUUCCAACCUAGGUAUAAAAUCUUCCUAUGUAAAUGCUCAUCCUUGAUCCAACCUUAAAUAGAGCUUGGUGAUAUAACAAGCAUCGAUACGGGAAAGACGAUAUACAUUGCAUUAUCCACUUACUCAUUGUAAUAAAAUAUAGUGCAAAAACUUUUUUAUUUUCUUAGUUGGGAGAGGUUAUUCCCC
rnacentral:lncRNA from 1 species